rnacentral:misc_RNA from 1 species
GAUGAAGAACGUAGCGAAAUGCGAUAAGUAGUGUGAAUUCCAGAAUUCAGUGAAUCAUCGAAUCUUUGAACGCACAUUGCGCCCCUUGGUAUCCCGAGGGGCAUGCCUGUUCGAGCGUCAUUUCACCACUCAAGCCUGGCUUGGUGUUGGGCGACGUCCCCUUUGGGGACGCGCCUCGAAACGCUCGGCGGCGUGGCACCGGCUUUAAGCGUAGCAGAAUCUUUCGCUUUGGAAGUCGGGGCCCCGUCUGCCGGAAGACCUACUCGCAAGGUUGACCUCGGAUCAGGCAGGGAUACCCGCUGAACUUAAGCAUAUCAAUAAGCGGAGGA